UCUCGUUUGAUUCGUUUCAUGAAGGGCAAGGAGGAUAAGGUUGCUGUGGUUGUUGGUACUGUAACUGAUGAUAUCCGGGUGUAUGAAGUCCCUUCCCUGAAGGUUACUGCACUGAGGUUCACAGAGACAGCAAGGGCAAGGAUUGAGAAGGCAGGUGGGGAGUGCUUGACUUUUGACCAGCUUGCUCUUAAAGCUCCUCUUGGUCAGAACACGGUAUGUGAUCCAGUACUAUGAUUGCUAUUAGUUUUCUGUUAUGUGCAAUCUUUAAUUUUGCUUUGAUUACUAUUUGUUGUUAAUAAUCAGUAAGUAAUUUGGGAUUAUAAUUGUUGUGUUUAAUACAGCACGCUAUUCAAUAUCAUCUUUUCUAUUAUCUCUAUUCUCCUUUUAUUAUACUGUUUGGUGAGUGAAUUUCCCAAUCAGCAUGACCAAAAUUACAAUUUGGGAUAUAUUGUUUCUUCCUGGUUAUUACCUUAGGCAACAAAUCUUAGCACUGUUAAAGGUGUUUUUGCAAAUACAUUUCAAAUAAGAAUAUGAAAUAUUGGAAUAUAUAACUCAGAGUGUGAACCUCGAUCAAUUAGUUUGGGUAUAUGAAAACUGCCUUAUCCUUCCCAACUCAGCAGUGUAUUGGUGACUAUUAGAUUCCGCUGUUGAACUUCAUCUCUACAAACAAAUUUUGAUUUUGAAAUUAUAUUGUAGUGUUCAAGGCCAAGCUAGGGGUGUAAGAUUAUUUACUAUCAAAUACAGUUCUUGAUUGGUCAUUUGGGCUGGAAGAUUCCCUUUCACAUCAGGUCACGAGGAUAGGAGUAACCAAGCUUGGAACCUUAAAAUAUUCUUUGCACAAAAAGAAUGUAUGCUCUCUCUUCCCCCACUGCAUGGUGUUCAGGAUGAACAAUAUAUGAUGGUGGGGGAUGGCAGAUAUAUCUCUGCCUGUGGUCAACAUUUUCUAAAUGGGUGGAAUCUGGAAACUAAAAGUAAUAUCUAUUUAUCAACAAUUCAACUUAUAUUUGUUGUUAUUUUUUAUAGCAUUUAUGGUUCUAAUGUUGUGUGUACAAUUGAUUAUUUCAUCCCUUGUUUGUUUGGUAAAAUAACUUUUUUUUUUUUUAAUUUCUGAUCAUCCAGAAGAAAAUUUUGAGUGAUGCAAGUUCACUCUCAAUAUUGUAGGUUCUCCUCAGGGGUCCCAAGAAUGCUCGUGAGGCUGUGAAGCACUUUGGACCAGCACCUGGUGUCCCACACAGCCAUACCAAACCUUACGUACGAUCAAAGGGAAGGAAAUUUGAGAGGGCUAGAGGAAGAAGGAACAGCAGGGGCUUUAGGGUUUGAGUACUUGAAUUUGGUCAAAAAAUACAGAUCACCCAACCAAAUCCAAGCAGAUGCAUCCAUAGACCAACCUUCAAUUUGGUUUUGUUUUACUUCGUUUUUUUUCUCAUCCUCUGGCAUGGAACAGUUGCAUUAUAGCAGGCUAAUGUCUGCAGUUUAUUUGGUAUUUUGAUUUAAACAUUAGACUUUGGAUGUCGACUGAGGAUUGAUGGGGUAUUUUUGAAUGUUAAAUGAUCUAUGUUAUAAUUACGAUUUAUUUCUUACUAAAGAUGUAUUGAAUGUGCUAUCAUCACGAUGAAUGGUCAUUAGUGUUUGAUGUACAUAAUAGUAGGCUACUGGGCUUGA
rnacentral:misc_RNA from 1 species